rnacentral:misc_RNA from 1 species
GAUGAAGAACGCAGCGAAAUGCGAUAAGUAAUGUGAAUUGCAGAAUUCCGUGAAUCAUCGAAUCUUUGAACGCACAUUGCGCCCCCUGGCAUUCCGGGGGGCAUGCCUGUCCGAGCGUCAUUUCUGCCCUCAAGCACGGCUUGUGUGUUGGGUGUGGUCCCCCCGGGGACCUGCCCGAAAGGCAGCGGCGACGUCCGUCUGGUCCUCGAGCGUAUGGGGCUCUGCCACUCGCUCGGGAAGGACCUGCGGGGGUUGGUCACCACUAUAUUUUACCACGGUUGACCUCGGAUCAGGUAGGAGUUACCCGCUGAACUUAAGCAUAUCAAUAAGCGGAGGA